CAACUUGGUUAUAGUUCUGAAAUUCAUUACCCCAGAGAAAGGAAGAAAUGGACUUGAUCUGGUGGAUGUGGAUGUUUAUGGUUGGAAUUUUCAAGCAUCCUCCUCAUGGUAAGAGAACCCAAUCCAAGACUGUGUGACACUUGAGCUCUAGGAAAUGAGUGCGUGGCUUUCCAGAUGGAACAAACCACAAAUGAAUGUGAGCAGCCUCCAGAAGCUGGAAAAGGAAAGAAAAUGGAUUCUUCCCUGUAGUCUGCAGAAAGAAAUGCAGCAUUUCUGACACUUUGAUUUUUGCCUGAUGUUAUGGACUAAAUAUUUGUGUCCCUCUUAAAUUUAACAUGUUGACGUCCUAACUAUUAAUGUGACUGUAUUUGGAAAUAGGACCUGUUAGUAGGUAAUAAAGGUUAAAUGAGCUGACAAGCAUGGGGCUCUAAUUCUAUAGGGCUAGUGACUUUAUAAGAGGAGAAAGAGACACCAGAGCAUUCUCUCUCUCUCUCUACCAUGUGAGGACACAAUGAGAAGAUGGCCAUCUGCAAGCCAAGUAGAGAGCCCUCACCUGAAACUGAACUGACCACAACUUUGCUUUUGGACUUUCCAG
rnacentral:lncRNA from 10 species